UACGUAGGGGGCAAGCGUUGUCCGGAUUUAUUGGGCGUAAAGAGCGUGUAGGCGGCUAGAUAGGUCCGUUGUGAAAACUCGAGGCUCAACCUCGAGACGUCGAUGGAAACCAUCUGGCUAGAGUCCGGAAGAGGAGAGUGGAAUUCCUGGUGUAGCGGUGAAAUGCGCAGAUAUCAGGAAGAACACCCUUGGCGAAGGCGGUUCUCUGGGCAUUACCUGACGCUGAGGAGCGAAAGCGUGGGGAGCGAACAGG
rnacentral:rRNA from 1 species